rnacentral:lncRNA from 1 species
CCCGGCAUUGUUGCAGAGUAGGACAGUGGCAUAGGAUGGCUCCAAAGAAAAGAGAUCUGCAUCAGAAAGAAAACCUCCUGCCAUAUCAUCUCGCCCAGACCUUCCAGUGAGGCAACCUUUCCCAGCUCAGUUGAGGACUGCUUCCUGUGGACUGGAAGUAUUGCCAAAGACCAUCACCUCUUCAGCGAGUCCUUGCCCCUGGAACUGAGGAGCAGCCAAGUCCCGGGCUGGAGAUGUAUCUCGGCUUUCCGGACUGACCUGGACCAGAGCAAGACAAGAUAAUAGCCAGCUUCACACAAGGGUAGUGAGGUUGGACCUACACUGUGUUCUCCUGCCAUGGCCCUGAGACACCCUGGAUUGGUUCAGCCUCCCACCGGCUGAGAUGCUGCAAAUGCUGAGCUUUACCAGGACCAGCCCAUUCCCUUCUCCAACACUAAUGCCUGGCUGGGGAUCAGCCCAAUGCGAGGAUCAUCCAUUGCCCUGGAGGGCUCAUGUUCCAUGCAGUAAAGCAGCUGGGAAGGACUUCAGAGUCACGCUUGGUUGUUCUCAUUUUCCAAGGGAUCCGUGAACAGAGCCCCUGGCAGAGGCUGAUGAUUGGGUUUUGCCAAUGGGGAGAUAGAUAUUAUGAAAAAAGAAAAAAAUGCUUUCCCAGGAUAGCUGCAAUUGAAAUGCGGAAUAAUUAUAUUGCCUGACAUCGCACGGAGAAAGAACAUGGAGCACGCAGCAGUGAUCAGUAAAAAUUAAACGCUUUGCAGGUGGAGUACACCUGAGUUUUCUGCAGUUCAGAUAUGUACUCAGACUUUUUUGAACCUUUUGGGGCCUAAUUAAAUUCAAGGGUAUUUAAGCAAAAUCUGCAUGGAAGAUAAUACUUUUCUUUCUAAUAAGAAACUGCCUAAUAAAACAGAUUAUGUGUAAAAUAGAAAUAUGGGCCCUGCAACAGGAAAGUGAAAAGACACUAAUGAGAAGUGUCUGACUGUUAAUGAAUUGUAUUAGCAUGCCAUUACCUGCAAAUAUUACAAAUAGAGCGACCGGCUUUACAUUCCCUUCUCUCUCAAGAACUUUAUGUGAUUUCUGGGAGUGGCUUGAUGGGUUUCUGGGAGCUGUGUUCAUCCUUCAAGCCUACAGUGGAGGUGGAGUUUCAGAACCAACAUCCAGACCUCCCAGUCUCCAGGGGCUGUUCCACUGGCUGCUGCAGACCCAGGUGGGUUAGGAGAUGUCUUCCCAUUGUCCAAGGAAGAGCCAUGUUCUUAAUGUGGCUGGCUCUUUGGCUCCUGCACCCUCAAAUAAUGUAAGUAGAUGGACUGGUGGCUCCUGAGUCACAUAGGAAUGUGCUGAAAACAUCCUUGUGCACCACUAAAGUGGAAGGUGGUUUUUUUCUGCGUAAUGAAAAAGAAACAGAAACCAAGUGA